AGUGAACGCUGGCGGCGUGCUUAACACAUGCAAGUCGAACGAGAACGGGUUAUAGCUUGCUAUAAUUGUCAGCUAAGUGGCGCACGGGUGAGUAAUGUAUAGGUAAUAUGCCUCUUACUAAGGGAUAACAAUUGGAAACGAUUGCUAAUACCUUAUACUCCUUAUUAACUAAAGUUAGUAAGGGAAAGAUUUAUUGGUAAGAGAUUAGCCUGUAUUGUAUCAGUUAGUUGGUGGGGUAAUGGCCUACCAAGACUAUGACGCAUAACUGGUUUGAGAGGAUGGUCAGUCACACUGGAACUGGGACACGGUCCAGACUCCUACGGGAGGCAGCAGUGGGGAAUAUUGCACAAUGGACGAAAGUCUGAUGCAGCAACGCCGCGUGGAGGAUGACACAUUUCGGUGCGUAAACUCCUUUUAUAUAAGAAGAUAAUGACGGUAUUAUAUGAAUAAGCACCGGCUAACUCCGUGCCAGCCGCCGCGGUAA
rnacentral:rRNA from 1 species